GAUGAACGCUGGCGGCGUGCCUAAUACAUGCAAGUCGAGCGAACAGACGAGGAGCUUGCUCCUUUGACGUUAGCGGCGGACGGGUGAGUAACACGUGGAUAACCUACCUAUAAGACUGGGAUAACUUCGGGAAACCGGAGCUAAUACCGGAUAACAUGUUGAACCGCAUGGUUCAACAGUGAAAGACGGUCUUGCUGUCACUUAUAGAUGGAUCCGCGCCGCAUUAGCUAGUUGGUAAGGUAACGGCUUACCAAGGCAACGAUGCGUAGCCGACCUGAGAGGGUGAUCGGCCACACUGGAACUGAGACACGGUCCAGACUCCUACGGGAGGCAGCAGUAGGGAAUCUUCCGCAAUGGGCGAAAGCCUGACGGAGCAACGCCGCGUGAGUGAAGAAGGUCCUCGGAUCGUAAAACUCUGUUAUUAGGGAAGAACAAAUGUGUAAGUAACUAUGCACGUCUUGACGGUACCUAAUCAGAAAGCCACGGCUAACUACGUG
rnacentral:rRNA from 1 species